AGCAGGACUAUAAGUUACAGACUUCCCACAGCCAGCGUCUCUUUCUAAACCAGCCAGCGGUGAGUCUCCACAUCUGCUUUUCUCACUUGAUUCUCUGCUUUGUCUAAACUCAAAAUGAGCUUCAGAAGGUCCACCGUGCAGUCCCGAUCCGCACCCAAGUACAGUUCUGCCAGCAUUUAUGGCGGUGCUGGUGGAAUGGGCUCCCGCAUUUCCUCUGCCUCCGUCUCUUCUCUGCGUUCUGGUGCCCCGAUGACCUCCUCUUCCUCUGCCUACAAGCUGAGCAGUGGAAUGGGUGGUGGUAUGGGUUCAGGUUUUGGAGGGGCCAGCGCAUCCGUUUCGAGUGGUGCUGGGAUCAUGGGCAAUGAGAGGGGAGCCAUGCAGAACCUGAACGACCGCCUGGCCAACUACCUGGAGACGGUGAGGAACCUGGAACAGGCUAACAAGGAGCUGGAGAUGAGGAUCAUGGAAGCUAUGGAAAAGGGAGGGCCCAACAUGAGAGACUACAGCAAGUAUCAACCCAUGAUAGACGACCUACGCCAGCAGAUCUUUGAUAAGAUUGGGGAAAACGCUGGUUUUGUGCUCCAGAUCGACAAUGCCCGUCUUGCUGCUGACGACUUCAAAGUAAAGUUUGACAAUGAGAUGGCAAUCCGUCAGUCUGUGGAGGCCGACAUUGGCGGACUGAAGAAACUCAUAGAUGACACCAACAUGACCAGGAUAAAUAUCGAGAGUGAGAUUGAAGCUGUCAGGGAAGAGCUUGUCUUCCUGAAGAAGAACCACGACGACGAGGUGAUGGAGAUAAGGAAUCAGAUCUCCCAGUCGGGCGUUCAAGUGGACAUAGACGCCCCCAAAGGUCAGGACCUGGCCCAGGUCAUGGAGGACGUGAGGGGCAAUUAUGAGAAGAUGGCCAUGAAGAACGUAGAAGAUCUCAAACGGUGGCAUGAAAAUCAGAUUGCGGAUGUGCAGGUGGAGGUGUCGCAGAACACGGAAGCCCUCCAGGGAGCCCAAAUGGAGAGGAGUGACCUAACCAGACAGAUACAGACCCUGGAAAUUGAACUUGCAUCCCAACAGAGCCUAAAAGCUUCCUUGGAAGAGACACUACGCAACACAGAGCAGCGAAACAACACGGAAAUGGAGCGUUACAACGGCAUCAUUAUUCAUUUAGAGGAGGAGCUGACCAACUUGCGUGCAAACAUCCAGCAUCAGACCCAGGAGUAUGAGGCGCUGCUCAACAUGAAGAUGAAACUGGAGGCUGAGAUUGGCACUUACAAGAGUCUAAUGGAUGGUGGAGACUUCAAGUAAGAAUUAGGUGUUGGGGGAAAAAAAGAGACCCGGCAAGGUGUUGAUAUAGUGGAGGCUCCAGGAUGCACUGGAUGAGCUGGCGGCCACAAGCUAAUUUGGAGCAAAGAGUCUGGUACCAGCACAACAAUGAAAGAGAAAAACCCACAACUGUGCAUUAUGGGAAACAAAUAUAUGCUGGUCCAAUUAUCUAAAGCCAAUUUUGAACCAAGACCACAUUCUGUGUAAACCAAAGCAUUUUACCACACAGCAAAACAGACACAGCUAUCUGGAAAGCUGCCAUUGCAUGACCUGACUGCAAAACAAAAAUGAAUAAAAACCACUUGUUGACUCA